rnacentral:rRNA from 1 species
GAUGAACGCUAGCGGGAGGCCUAACACAUGCAAGCCGAGCGGUAUUGUUUCUUCGGAAAUGAGAGAGCGGCGUACGGGUGCGGAACACGUGUGCAACCUGCCUUUAUCUGGGGGAUAGCCUUUCGAAAGGAAGAUUAAUACUCCAUAAUAUAUUGAACGGCAUCGUUUAAUAUUGAAAGCUCCGGCGGAUAGAGAUGGGCACGCGCAAGAUUAGCUAGUUGGUGAGGUAACGGCUCACCAAGGCGAUGAUCUUUAGGGGGCCUGAGAGGGUGAUCCCCCACACUGGUACUGAGACACGGACCAGACUCCUACGGGAGGCAGCAGUGAGGAAUAUUGGUCAAUGGGUGCAAGCCUGAACCAGCCAUCCCGCGUGAAGGACGACUGCCCUAUGGGUUGUAAACUUCUUUUGUAUAGGGAUAAACCUACCCUCGUGAGGGUAGCUGAAGGUACUAUACGAAUAAGCACCGGCUAACUCCGUGCCAGCAGCCGCGGUAAUACGGAGGGUGCAAGCGUUAUCCGGAUUUAUUGGGUUUAAAGGGUCCGUAGGCGGACUUAUAAGUCAGUGGUGAAAGCCUGUCGCUUAACGAUAGAACUGCCAUUGAUACUGUAAGUCUUGAGUAUAUUUGAGGUAGCUGGAAUAAGUAGUGUAGCGGUGAAAUGCAUAGAUAUUACUUAGAACACCAAUUGCGAAGGCAGGUUACCAAGAUAUAACUGACGCUGAGGGACGAAAGCGUGGGGAGCGAACAGGAUUAGAUACCCUGGUAGUCCACGCCGUAAACGAUGCUAACUCGUUUUUGGGCUUUAGGGUUCAGAGACCAAGCGAAAGUGAUAAGUUAGCCACCUGGGGAGUACGCUCGCAAGAGUGAAACUCAAGGGAAUUGACGGGGGCCCGCACAAGCGGUGGAUUAUGUGGUUUAAUUCGAUGAUACGCGAGGAACCUUACCAAGACUUAAAUGGGAAUUGACAGCUUUAGAAAUAGAGCUUUCUUCGGACAAUUUUCAAGGUGCUGCAUGGUUGUCGUCAGCUCGUGCCGUGAGGUGUUAGGUUAAGUCCUGCAACGAGCGCAACCCCUGUCACUAGUUGCCAUCAUUCAGUUGGGGACUCUAGUGAGACUGCCUACGCAAGUAGAGAGGAAGGUGGGGAUGACGUCAAAUCAUCACGGCCCUUACGUCUUGGGCCACACACGUAAUACAAUGGCCGGUACAGAGGGCAGCUACACAGCGAUGUGAUGCAAAUCUCGAAAGCCGGUCUCAGUUCGGAUUGGAGUCUGCAACUCGACUCUAUGAAGCUGGAAUCGCUAGUGAUCGCGCAUCAGCCAUGGCGCGGUGAAUACGUUCCCGGGCCU